rnacentral:lncRNA from 1 species
UUUGCAGCGGAAAUCUUAUUACCAAAUUUUACAAGUUACAAAAAUUUUACAUUAUUUUAUCGGAGUGAUUACAAAAGUAUAAGUUUGAAAUAUAUGCUAGCUCAAGUGACCAUCCUCAAUAAGAAGAUAAAGACGGGGUAUACUUAUAUAAGAAGGCCGAGCCCACCGGCGCUUAACACCAUCAAUAGCAGCACAAAACUAUAACCUGAAAAACAACGGGGAAUAAAACCCUGAGUACAGAAUUACUCAGCAAGACUUACCCGACUAAAGAAAAGACUCUCAAGGGUAUGCUGGUUUAAUAGGAAUCAAGGAAAAGGCUUUAGCAAGAAUCAACUAUGAUAUUUUUGCAGAAAUAGCUUACUAAAGUGAAUCCUUCCUUUCAAUGUUUUAACGUCAGAUUAAAUAUUAAUAGACUCUGAUUGCAUCUAGUCUAAUUUCAGCAUCUCAUCAAUACAACACCAUUUUUAUUCAUAAUGUUCACAUCCUGACUUAGGUUGCAGGGCAGUGACCAAGUCUCCACUGUCCGGGGAUAUAACGGCGAUCCGAAUCGAUUUACUCAGCUGAGGAUCUCUAACCACACGACAUAUGUAGCACUUAACCCUUGCAUAUGUCAACUCGUCACCGGGGUUCUUAAGACCAGAUCAGGUUCACGCCAACCGAGAGCACAGAUACACCACCGUCCAGCCUCUUGCCACGGAGGGUACACGCUACUCUCGCCAUCUCUCCACUCCCAUUGCGUGUUAUCUUAUUCUGGUAUUAGUCUGCCCGAGGCAAAGCUUACCCUGUCCCAUUUCCAGGGCAUGUGGCCAGUUAAGAUAGUCCUUGAUCAGCAAGCCUACAUACGCAUCCAAUCCUUAAUCAACCUGGGUAGAACAUCACCUGUUCCUAGCCCAAGUCCCGAUUUAAGUACUUUCACCCUUAGGAUUGUUUGUAUUCCUUAGGAUGAAAAGAGCAUCAAAGGGAACUUUGCAGUAAGAUCCCACCACGCUCUCAAUGAAAAUAUUCUUGCAGGUAGAAGUCAUCUUUCCUUAGGAUAACCCCUGAGCUAGGCCUUAAUGCAAAAGACAACCUCUAUCCACAAGAUCUGAGCAGGGUUAAGCAAUUUUUCAAAUAAUACUUGAUACUUCACCAGAAGUAUCUAUAAAAGGAAUGGAUUUCAAGGUAGCCAAUGCAUCAAAGAGUUUCCAAGCAACUCCUAUAAACCUAAUGCACAUUCACUAGACUUAAAGUUUGUAAAAAUAAUUUAAAAACACAAGGAAGGGGUUGCAUGCACCGGGGCUUGCCUUAUUGCAGUGAAGAGGUUCUAGAUACUUCUACCCCAUAACCAGUUAGAUAGCUCCAUCACUUGAUCAGCAGACACUGGAGUAGACUCCUCUUCAGAAUCUCCUUCUUGGCACUCUACAUGAAAUGUAUGCCCAUGAAUGCUUAUACUCACGUUAUGAAAGUGCAACGUGUAAAGAAGACAAUAUUAAGCACUUCCCACUACACCUUCCCACAAGGUGCACAAAAAGAUUAACAAAAUAAUAGGGGAUCUAGUAACACCAGGAAUCCAAAGUCUACACCUUCAAGCUAUGACAACCAGGGGACUAGAACACACUAGAUUUCAUCCAAAGAUCAAGAUCUCACUUGAUAAACUUGGCUCUACAUUCCCAAGCUCUAAUCCAUUCUUGGAUUAGGGAUUUAUCUUAUCUAUUAAGGACCUUGCAAAGCUUUCUGAGAAAAUCGCUUACAAACAGCCUCAAACUUUUACCACAAGCUCAAAUGACCAAAACAAGGUUACUCAGAAAUUUUCAUAAGUUUGGGCACUGUACUUUUAUUUCUAAAAUCCAAACAGUCCUUCCAAGAGCACUUUUAAAUCCCUUAAUAUUUGGUAACCGACCUAAAAAUCCGAAAACCGACUUUACCAGAGAGCUUUUGAUUUUAUACAUCCACUAAAAUUUAUCCCAUGAUUUUUAUAAUUUUCUAUAGUACCAGACCAACUUAGUUGGCCAAGCCUGCUCCCAAACCAUAACACUACCAGUUUGCUACCGUAGUCCAAGGUCAAAAUCAUACAAAACACAAGCUAUGGUGCACCAAAACAUAACAAAAACACUUAAACAUUUCAAUUUUAGAAGUCUGAAACACCACAUGUUUAAUCUGACAGUGAGUUUUUCAACUCCUUUUUCUCUAAAUUCAGCAAGCCAACUCUCUGUAUGAUACUUUCUCUCCUUGACAUGAUCUUUCACUUUGCUAUAGCAUUCUUACCCCAAUUCUUCUUGGAUUAAUUACCACAAGGACCCAAAUUUGAAUAAAAACACACAAAUUCAGACUUAAAUAUUAUUCUAAGUCUGAAUCCCAACACCUGACAGUCCAUCUUUUGGCCACUUUUACUCCCAACUUUAUGUGAAAUCAGGUCCAUCACACUUUAGCAAACUUGUUCACUUUACUAUGGUCUACAACUUUGCUAUGGAACCCUUAAUCCAAAACCCCAUGAAUCAGUCACAAAUGAAUUCCAAACUAGGCAUACUGCUGCAAUUCAGUUUAUAGAACUGAAUAAAAAAAUUCAGUUGUGUCCAGCCUGACAGUCCAACUUUAGCCAACCUUUUCUCCAACUUUUACACAGCAACAGACCAAGCUCACAUUACCAAAGUUAUUCCUUAGAUAUAGCUCUACUACUUUGGUAUAGCACCCCUAGGUUUAAAACAUUCAGAACAAUUUUUAUGAAGCACCAAAGUGGAGCUCAACACACUAAAACCUAGUUUCAGCCUUAUGCACUAAGUCUGGGAUCCAGAAAUCUGACAGCCUAUGUUUGAGCAAAUUUCACACCUAGUUCCCAGCAAUAAACAGUGGUAGAGUUCAAGAACUAACUUGUGUGAGCUUCAUCGACCAACAAAGAUUACCGAACAAGCAACAUGGACAAUUACCUGCUGGAGUUACUCUGGCUACGGCAAGGUGAAGUUCCACUGACCUAAACUGAAGGACACUGAUCAAGG